rnacentral:tRNA from 1 species
GCGAAAUAGCUCAGUUGGGAGAGCGUUAGACUGAAGAUCUAGAGGUCCCUGGUUCAAUCUCCGGUUUCGGCA